GACGUCAAGUCCUCAUGGCCUUUAUGCUUAGGGCUACACACGUGCUACAAUGGGUGGUACAAAGAGAAGCCAACUCGCGAGAGCGCGCCAAUCUCAAAAAGCCAUCCUCAGUUCGGAUUGGAGUCUGCAACUCGACUCCAUGAAGUUGGAAUCGCUAGUAAUCGCGGAUCAGCAUGCCGCGGUGAAUACGUUCCCGGGCCUU
rnacentral:rRNA from 1 species